rnacentral:lncRNA from 1 species
ACAUUCCAAAUGAACAUAGUUCAACUCUAGCUGCACAAGUUACAGAUUCCCUAGGUUACUAAAAAGACCUGAUGUUUUAUUCCUCCAACAGAAGCUCUUAAAAAUUAAAGAAGCUCAAAGAAAAAGAAACAGUUAAUGGCAUAGAGUGAUUCCAAGUGAAAGAACAAAAUCUCUUCAACCUAUUCUCUCCAAACACCAGGUUGACUCUUCUCUGAAGAGGGUCCUCUGCUUUGAAUGACAUGACAGAUUUAUAUUUUGUCAACAAUGCAUUCAUCUGUGGAUUUUAUGCAAGCUUUUGCCCGCUUCUCUGCUAUCCAUUCAAAAGAAAAGCCUCACUGCUGGGCCUAAUUAUCCAUACCUGGGCAAUAUCAUUCACUUGAUAGCUGCCACCUGAAGUGAAAGCAGUUUCUAAGAAAAAUGAACCAGCCUCUCUAGAGCUUGCCUACAGCCCCAAACCAUAACAAGGGACAUAAAUGUUAGAACUGCAUUUAAAAAAAAAGAAAGGAAGAGAAAGAAAAUUAAAAGACCUGUUACCUGAAAAUUCAUUCUUCAAAGUAAAAUUUUGUCAAUCUUACUGCUAAAAGAGUUAAUGCAAAUUUCCUUUGAGCAACAACCUCUUCUUCUAAUGCAUAGGAAAGGAUAUAUAAAUGUUUUGUUUCCAUACAACUGCUUAGGAACCUAU